GAUGAACGCUGACAGAAUGCUUAACACAUGCAAGUCGACUCGAGUCUUCGGACUUGGGUGGCGGACGGGUGAGUAACGCGUAAAGAACUUGCCUCAUAGUCUGGGACAACAUUUGGAAAUGGAUGCUAAUACCGGAUAUUAUACUUUCUUCGCAUGGAGGAAGUAUGAAAGCUAUAUGCGCUAUGAGAGAGCUUUGCGUCCCAUUAGCUAGUUGGUGAGGUAACGGCCCACCAAGGCGAUGAUGGGUAGCCGGCCUGAGAGGGUGAACGGCCACAAGGGGACUGAGACACGGCCCUUACUCCUACGGGAGGCAGCAGUGGGGAAUAUUGGACAAUGGACCAAAAGUCUGAUCCAGCAAUUCUGUGUGCACGAUGACGUUUUUCGGAAUGUAAAGUGCUUUCAGUCGGGAAGAAGCAAGUGACGGUACCGACAGAAGAAGCGACGGCUAAAUACGUGCCAGCAGCCGCGGUAAUACGUAUGUCGCAAGCGUUAUCCGGAUUUAUUGGGCGUAAAGCGCGUCUAGGCGGCAAGGAAAGUCUGAUGUGAAAAUGCGGGGCUCAACUCCGUAUUGCGUUGGAAACUGCCUUACUAGAGUACUGGAGAGGUAGGCGGAACUACAAGUGUAGAGGUGAAAUUCGUAGAUAUUUGUAGGAAUGCCGAUGGGGAAGCCAGCCUACUGGACAGAUACUGACGCUAAAGCGCGAAAGCGUGGGUAGCAAACAGG
rnacentral:rRNA from 1 species